rnacentral:rRNA from 1 species
AUGGCGUUCAGGGAAUUUCGUCUUUUUAAUCAAGCAUUACUGGCACGUCAAGCAUUGCGGAUCCUAGCUUUCCCUGAUAGCUUGUGUGCACGAGUGCUAAAGGCAAAAUAUUUCCCUUCUGGUGAACUAGAGGACACUGUGUUCCCCAAGGGCUCUUCUCCUAUUUGGCAAGCAAUUGCCCAUGGCCUAGACCUUCUCAAGAAAGGGCUCAUCUGGAGAGUUGGAAAUGGUCGUUGCAUCCGCAUUUGGAGAGAUAGAUGGAUUCCCAACGGUGGUUCUGGCACUCUGAUUACAAGACAGGGAAGACGUCGCCUUAGGAGAGUUUCAGAGCUACAUGAUGAACAUGGCGUGUGGCGGCUGGAUGUUCUCAAUAAUUAUUUUCUUCCUGUGGACAUUGAGAAAAUUGUUAAAAUCCGAGCCUCCCCCCGAAUGGGCGACGAUGUUCUUGCCUGGGAACCUGAGAAAAGCGGUGUUUUCUCAAAGGCGCGUGUCUUUGCGUGGCGGGUGGUUACAGAUUGUUUGCCCACUUGGAUUAAUAAAAGUCGUCGUAGUCUCGAAGUGUCUAACUUAUGUCCUGUUUGUGCUACUGAGCCGGAGGACACCUUCCAUGCUCUGUGUAGAUGCCCCCAAGCAAUGGCAUUAUGGCAGGCGAUGGCGCAGCAGUGGAGUAUCCCGGAUAUCCGGCAAAUGCAACACACAGGGCCGGAGUGGCUCCUCCAUGUCCUGCCUGAUCUAUCUGAAGAGCAGCGCCUGUGUACACUAAUGACGAUUUGGCGUUGUUGGCACGUACACAAUGAAAUUGUGCAUGACAAGCCGCCGCCACCAGUGGAGGCUUCGACGUGCUUCGUUUCGAGCUACAUAUCUUCCCUGCUGACCCUGCAGAGUGACCCACAUGCUGAUCAUGUCAAAGGGAAGAUGGUCGCUAGUCCUCAGCUCAAAAGACGUCCAGUAUUGCAUGUGGUGGACCGAGAGGCUCAACCAGCCCGGUGGGAGGCGCCCCCGGCAGUCUGGGCAGCGCUGAAUAUUGAUGGGUCAUUUUCAGUUCAAGAUGGUACAGGUGGAGCGGGCAUGGCACUCAGGGAUGAUGGUGCAAUCAUCUACUCAUCCUGCCGCGAGCUUAGACAUUGUGCAUCUGCACUCGAGUCUGAAAUUGCUGCAUGUAUGGAAGGGAUUUCUUCACUCGCUAUCCAGUGGACGGCCGUGCCGCUUGUUAUCCAGACGGAUUGUUUGGAUGUUGUGAAAUUGAUUACGGGUACUGAUGAUGACAGAUCAGCUCAUACAAUGAUGGUGCAAGAAAUUAGAUCACACCUUCAGGAAGGUAGGGAAUUUUUAGUCAAGCAUGUUAGGCGGGAACAAAACUCAGUUAGUCAUUUUUUAGCAAAUUUUGGUAGAAUAAAGAAGCGCACUGUCGUGUGGCUUCGCUCAGGACCAGACGAGGUGCCUGAUCUUUGUAAUGCAGACUUGGCCGCCGCUUGA